AAUUAAAAAAAGGAACAUUUAAUAGUCAUUUGUUUCUUUUGCAGAAAAGUGCGCAAAGGCACUAUAAACUUCAUGAUUCCGACUAUGAUACUAAGGGAAAUAAGGAGAGGAGGGACUGAGUAUCAAAAAUUAAAGACCCAGGGGGGAUUGUUAAACAAGAAUGGGGAUCUACUUGAGGCAAAAGAAGAGAAGUGGGAGGGCCAAAAUGCAAAGGUGCAAAUGAGAAGAGGGGAUCAAAAUCCCUAGCAGCCUCCAUUCCCAAAUCGGGCCUGGCACUUCUCUCUUUUCCUCACCCUCCUUCUCCACCGCCAGUCGCCGCCACGGCCAGGCCAUCGUGGUGGGGCGCCUCCCAGCCAUCCUACCUUACCCCUCCGUCCACAGCACCAGCAGCCUCCAACACCCCGUCCACCACAACAUACAUCCAUCCCAGCCGCCGCCGCCGCGCCUACAGCCAUCUCCCUACUGCUGCUGCUCUUUUCUCACCACUGCUAUUCCUCCUCCUUCAACCUGCUGGUGCCCGCCCUCAAACCUAGACUUCUGCUUCUUUCUUCUCCAGCGCCCCCUUGCUGCUCCUCCACCUCUCUUCUUCACCCAAACUUUGCUGCAUGCACUCUGCCUUCUCUGAAUCUCAACCUCCACUUGCCAACUGCUACUUCCCUUCUCUCAACCCUCGCUGCUCCUAUCUCAACGCUCCCGCCGCUGUUGCUCUCUACCUCUCUGCUGCUCCUCUCCCACAUCCCUGCUAGCUGCUACUACCUUUCCCCAAAAGAACUGCUGCUCUCUCACUGCUGCUGCACCUUCUCUCCUUGCUGAACCUCUGCUACUGUUAAACUGCAUCUCUCUCAUUGUGUAAUUUUGUGAACAGUUACUGUGGAGACGUGAUCAACUAUAUUUUGUACUAGUUCAAUAUUUUAUGCCCUGUUAAUCAGCUAGUGGUUUGUAAAACUUCAGAUUACUUCUCGUGAAUUAUGUGUUGAACUUUAGUGUGGAGUUGUAAUCUGUUUUACUAUUUCAAUGUAUGAGAAUUUUCUGUCAGUUAGUUUCCUGUGAUAUCCUGAUUACAUAUUGUGAUUAUUUUGUGUUGAUGUGGCUCUCUGUAGAAGUGAGAUGUAUGAACAUUUAAAGUCCAUUCCAUGUGAUAGCUUUGUCCCUGUGACAAAUAUGUUUGUAAUGCGAAACAUAUCUAUUAUGCUAUAUGUGUUCAUGUCCUGUCGUUUCCCUUUAUGUUAGUUUCUAAUUUCUCAAGCCUAAAAAAAUACCAAAAAUACAGUGAUUGCAUUCUUAUCCCCCCUAUGCUUGUUUGCAUCUUCUUUGUCGACGUUUUUUAUGAAAUAUGAUAGUUUAGGUUUAUUUCCCUCAAUCAUCAUUUGAAUUGUAUUAUCUAGAUUUAACUGAGCAUAGACGCUGAUGUGCCUAGUCCCUAUGGAGAACAUGACACACUUGCAGAUUUGGGCGAAAUACCCCACUGUACUUACACCCGAUCAUUUUGGAAGGCGCACCAGCACGACGGCCUGUCCGUGGGAUCGGUGGUAUGUUCCUUUGAAAAGUGCGCAAAGGCACUAUAAACUUCAUGAUUCCGACUAUGAGACUAAGGGAAAUAAUAAGAGGAGGGACUGAUUAUGAAGAAUUAAAGACCCAGGGGGGAUUGCUAAAAAAGAAUGGGGAUCUACUUGAGGCAAAAGAAAAGAAUUAGGAGGGCCAAAAUGCAAAGGUGCAGAUGUGAAGAGGGGAUCAAAAUCCCUAGCAGCCUCCAUUCCCAAAUCGGGCCUGGCACUUCUCUCUUUCCCUCACCCUCCUUCUCCACCUCCGGCCGACGCCAUGGCCAGGCCGUCGUGGUGGUGCGCGUCCCAGCCAUCCUACCUUACCCCUUUGUUCACAGCACUAGCGGCCUCCAACACCCCAUCCACCGCAACAUACAUCAAUCUCAGCCGCCGCCGCCGCGCCUACAGCCAUCUCCCUACUGCUGCUGCUCUUUUCUCACCGCUGCUAUUCCUCCUCCUUCAACCGGCUGGUGCUCGCCCUCAAACCUAGCCCGCUACUUCUUUCUUCUCCAGCGCCCCCUGGCUGCUCCUCCACCUCUCUUCUUCACUCAUACUUUCCUGCAUGCUCUCCGCCUUCUCUGAAUCUCAACCUCCACUUGCCAACUACUGCUUCCCUUCUCUCAACCCUCGCUGCUCCAUCUCAAUGCUGCCGCUGCUGCUGCUCUCUACCUCUCUGCUGCUCCUCUCCCACAUCCCUGCUGGCUGCUACUACCUUUCCCCAAAACAAUUGAUGCUCUCUUACUGCUGCUGCACCUUCUCUCCUUGCUGAACCUCUACUACCGUUAAACUGCAUCUCUCUCGUUGUGUAAUUUUGUGAACAGUUACUGUGGAGACUUGAUCAACUAUAUUUUGUACUAGUUCAAUAUUUUGUGCCAUGUUCAUCAGCUAGUGGUUUGUAAAACUUCAGAUUACUUCUUGUGAAUUAUGUGUUGAAAUUUAGUGUGGAGUUGUAAUAUGUUUUACUAUUUCAAUGUAUGAGAAUUUUCUGUCAGUUAGUUUCUUGUGA